UCAUUUAGAGGAAGGAGAAGUCGUAACAAGGUUUCCGUAGGUGAACCUGCGGAAGGAUCAUUGCCGUCUCUAGAACCACCACCGGCGAACCAGUCCCGCGGAAACGCCGCUCGCGGCGCGCGGCCCCAGGGACGACCCGGGGGCGCGCGGCCCGACGAGCCCCGAACAACAACCCUCUGGGCGCGGCGAGCGCCAAGGAAUCGAAGCGGAAAGGGCGGCCGCCUCACCCGGUGCGAGCGCGCCCCGGCCGGGGACGCAGCACCGCCGUGGGGAUCCGCCGCCCGUCUGUGAAUCCUGUAGACGACUCUCGGCAACGGAUAUCUCGGCUCUCGCAUCGAUGAAGAACGUAGCGAAAUGCGAUACUUGGUGUGAAUUGCAGAAUCCCGUGAACCAUCGAGUCUUUGAACGCAAGUUGCGCCUGAGGCCACUCGGCCGAGGGCACGCCUGCCUGGGCGUCACGCCACCCAUCGCGCCCCCCCGCGGCAUUCCCAUGCCCCGGCGGGGAGCGGAGACUGGCCGUCCGUGCCCGAUCCCUCGGCGCGCGGUCGGCGGAAAAAGGAGGACACCGUGCGGCGAGACACGGCGUGUGGGGGUUGAGAGGCGACCCGUCGCCGAUCGUACGUCGCGCCCGCAUUCCGCCGCGCGCAGUGUCGCCCGUGGGACCAGACUCGCCCGCAGCCGCGGGCGCUCGGACCGCGACCCCAGGUCAGGCGUGGCCACCCGCUGAAUUUAAGCAU
rnacentral:misc_RNA from 1 species